CGUCCCGUAACGGCCCCGCCGGCUACUUCGAGACGCGGCUCUACGGCGACGUCACCCUCAGCAUCCGGCCCGAGACGCACUCGCCGGGUUUGUUCUCCUGGUUCCCCAUCUUCUUCCCCAUCAAGCAGCCGGUGCCGGUGCGGGCGGGGCAGGAGGUGUCGGUGGCGUUCUGGCGCGUGGCCACGCCCACCAAGGUGUGGUACGAGUGGGCGGUGACGUCGCCGGCGUGCUCCGCCCUCCACAACCCCACGGGGCGGAGCUACACCAUCGGCCUGUGACGGGCGGACGGACGGGACGGGCGGACGGACGCAAUAAAGCUGCCCCCAGAGA